GGAUAUGGAUGGAGGAAAGGAUGUCUGCCUGAUUCUGACAAGUUCCAAUCAUUUCUCCAGCCUGUUCACAUUCUUUGAUGCUUGUUUUGUGCUGGAAUCAGUAUUGUGCAACAGAAAAUGACAACUAUAAAUCCUUGACAAUGAACGUCUUGCACAACGAACGUGCACAGGACAAGCUCUUUGUUGCUUCAUUAUGGCUGCAGGCCUCAGCACGGAGAUUUUCUGGCAGUGCCUCAGAAUAACACCCGAGMUGCCCAUGAAAUCUUUCUGCAGGAAAGGGAGAAGAACUGGAUAUACAGAAAAGAAGUGGCCCYCAAGCAAAUGCCAUUUCCCUGCCUGCACUGGCUUGCUUGUCAUAUCCUAAACUGGGAGAAAGGGAGAUGAAACUCUUUGGUUAAGGUGCUUUCCUCAUCUCC